ensembl:lncRNA
GUCCUAUAUGCCUCACUUAUCUGUAUGUCAAGCUCUUUUCCCCUGCUUGGGAAGUUUUCUGCCAUUAUUUCUGUGAAGAGGUUUUUUUAUGUCAUCUGCACUCUCUCCUGUUUCUUCAUUGAGCCCAAUCAGUCUUAUGUUAUUCUUUUUUGCAUCAUCUAGCAGCUGCUGGAUUGAUUUCUCAUGUUCCCUUAUAAUUUUGAAGCAAUUUUUCUUUUCCUGGUCACUAAUUGCAAUCUUAUCUUCUAUAUCUGAAAUUCUGUCCUCACAUUGGCUCAUUCUGCUGUGUAGACUUUCAUUGGAGUUUUUCAUGUCCUGGAAAUCUAUUUGCAUCUGUUUUAUGGAUUCCAUUUGUUUCUUAUGUUGGGAUUCCAUCAUGUUCCUCAGCUCCUCUCUAGAUUUAUUAACCAUGUCUUGCACUAGGGGCACAAUUUCUCCUGUUAUCUGAGAAAUUAUUUCUGAUUUCAUUUUUUCCAGAUCCCCUUUUGUUGCCAGUUCAGUGGGUCCAGGUAGUUGAGUAUCAGAGUGUUUCAUCUCAUUUCCCUUUGGGGCUGCUGUAGGUGACCUGGAAGUCUGGUUUUGAGACUUAUUUAUGUGUUUUCUCAUUUCAAGUGGGGCAGGGGGCUGUUAGCGCCUGCACAGAUUACCUCCUCUGAGCUGGAUGAGGUGGGGCAGGGGCCGGGAGCAGCGGUAGGGAUGGUGACCCUAAAGCCCUUUCCUGUGGGCUGGAAGCAGCCGGAGGGAUGGUGGCCAGGAAACCCCUUCCUCUGGACCAGGAGCAGUGGGAUGAUGGCUCAGAAGCCCCUCCCUCUGGGCUGGGAAUGGUGGGAGGGAUGGUUGCCUGGAAGCCCCUUCCUCUGGGCCAGGAGCAGCGGGACAGAAGGUGGCCCAAAAGCUCCUUCCUCUGGACCGGGAGCAGUGGGACAAUGGCUCAGAAGCCCCUACCUCUGGGCCGGGAACCGUGGGACUCAGUACCUUGGUCUGGUGGUCUGGUGCCCUCUGCGUCUUUGUAGUGUGGAAUCAGGUGGCUGCCUGUCUGCAGCGGGGUGAUUCAGUGUCUUCCCUGCGACUCAGGACUUCGGUAGGGCGUGGGCAGACCUGCCUGUCUGCAGCGGGCUGAUUCGGCGUGUUCUGUGCUACUCAGGACUUCGGUAGGGCAUCAACUUAGCGUAUCUUGAUGGGAAAAAAAUAGAUCUUAUGGAAGCAAGAGGUCAUAAAAUCUUACAGGAACAAAGUUAACAACAGCCAUAAGGUGGGGUGAAGUCUGAGGAGGAACUGCUUAGGGUUGGGGAGACUUGUUUUUCCUUUUCUUUAAAGUUUUGCUUUAGUAAGCUAUGUUAUUUAAAAACCUGAGAUAAAAAUUGGUAUUCAAGCAAAGAACUAUGUCUCAAUUGGCAAUGAAUAUGCCCUCUGUGUACUGAUUUGCUCCAUUGAGGAGACACAAUUUCACAUCUCUACACAGUCACCCACUUGCUGUUAUUCUGACCCUAACCCUAACCCUUUAAGAAACAGCAAGAAAUAUGGUAUCUCUUGUGAGUUUAUCAGAAGGUAGCUUUUCAAAUUUGAAAUAGCCUCACUGAUGCAUUUAGUGAUUUGGGCGUUUUUGUUUGUUUGUUUGCAGUCUGUCCCUGGAUAAUGUGUCAGAACAUGUAGAAUACAGUUUACCUCUGAUAUUUGUAUCUGUGCUCAGAUGAGAUCAAAGCACUACCUCUGUGUGUGUGCCUGGAGGUCUUACAGUUUGGGGACCUAGCUUGCCACAGGCUGGGAACUGAGGAGAAUCAAAGCUAGAAGGCCCCAUCCAGCAGCUGAUGCAGCCAAUCACAUGGAAGUGAAAGCCAGAGUGUGCUCAUCUGUAAUCCCAGAUGCUCAGGAGGCUGAUGGAAGAAGAAUCCCAUAUGAUGUGAGACAUUUCUACAUACCAAAAUAUUUCAAAGGUAGAUGCCCAAAAGAAAAGAAAGCAUAUAUUCAAACAAAAAGGGAUAUGUUGUCCACAUCUGUCAAAGUCAUGGCAAUGAAAGAGUCCUGGCAUGAGUUCCAGAAAAGAAAACUGGAUCCCAAUAAAAAAAGGAUUUUUGUCUCAUCCAAGAGAGACAGUGUAAGUGAAGGGGACCUAAGGAUUGGCUAUUCAAAUGGAAGCUCUUAAUUACUAACACGGGGGCUUUGUGGUGGUCAUCUAGGAGUGUCUGGCAGUGUUUCGCAUAGACUUGCAAAUCUGGAAAAGCAAUACCCACCGGAGAAGGUGAGUGGAUAGCUGAAGGGUACUUCCUAACAUGAUUAUAAAUUUGAGAUUAUUGAAAAGUAAAGUACUUUUUACAUUAUCCAUGUCAGCAACAUGCCAGACAAAGAAACAUCAAUCUUCACUCUACUGGCUAAGUGAUUAGUGAGCUUUCUCACUGUGGAGACGCAGUAUCUGACACCCACAACUAAGGAGGGGGAAGUUUUAGCUCAUGUCUGUUGGGGAUUCAGUCCAUGGCUGGCCCAAGAGGCAACAUCAUGGAGGAAGUGUGUGGCAGAAAAAGCUUCUUCAUUCAUGGUGGCCUGGAAGCAGAGCAGGCGAACAGAGAGGAAGGGGUAAGUGACCAGCUAGAGACAUCAAGGUCACCUCCAUGUCCCAUGCAGACACGCCCACAAGUGUACACCAACUAUUCCUGGGUAGAUCUCAAAGCCAAUCAAGGUGACACUCCACCUGAACUGUCAUUUACAUGACAUUGACUCUACCACGUUGUUUAUUAUACAUGUAGUUCAGCAUUAGGUAGUGUUGUUAAUCUCUACCUGUCCAAAAUUUAUCAAAUAAAUUUUAUCAUAGUUCUCAUGUAUAGGAAAAAGCAAUAUAUAUGUGGUUUAUAUGGUUAUUAAUAUCUAGAGUUGGGUUUGAGACAUACAUUGGAGACGCUGAAACACAGCCCUUUCAAAUAGGAAAUAUAUGACUCAGUAUAUUUUUCAUGGAAACAGAGAAGGGGCAGAACUGAUGUUGUCUGAGCAGACUCAUGGACGAAUAUCUUGCCUCCAGACAGGCAGCAUAAUAUAAUCUGUGUUAUGCAGACCAUGUGGGAUGGGCCACAAAGAGUUGAGCUGCAAUGGCAGAGCUCAAAACAUGGGAAGAAUUACCCACCCUGGUUUGGGUUGUAGAAGUGGAGAAAUGAAAAAAUCCUCCAGGUUUGGAAGGUGCCUGGACAUCUUUCCCACUCUGUGUCUUGUUAUCCAGCUGGCUCAGCUGCCUGAUGUAGCUGCUAGGUCAAUGGCUUUCAUUAUGUGGACAUGUCUGCAGAUUUUUUUCUCAAGACAGAGGAGGAGUGGAUUUUACUGGUAUCUUGUGACAUUGGGCCACAGAUGAUGCUAAAUAUUAUAUAAGGAACAAGAGAGCUUUCAUUACAAGUAAACAAUUUUAUGGUAUAUUGACAUGACCGUUUAGACUUUUGGUUUUGAUUAUGAACUCAAUCUCAAGCCCUUUUCUCCUCUGUACAGGUCUAGUGGAUGCAUCUUAUCCUUUCAUCCCACUUGUGAGUUAUAAAUAAAAAUUAUUCUGCCUCGCAAGCGCAAGGACCCAAGUUUGAUCCCCGGUACCAAAAAGAAAAAUAAAUAAAUAAAUAAAAAUUAUUUUUACAAGCUCCAUCUUUUAAGUAUUAUGUGGUCUUUCUGGAUUUCAGACUACUCUCCAUCAAGAAACUAAUAACAGCCCCACAGCCACUAAUGAUCUUACUGUCGUACAAAUCACAAGUUUCAUGUAAGACCUUUCGAGGGGCAUUGAAUUUCUUGUAUUAGAAUUCCUAAACUAUGAUCCAAUGAUGUAAUAUUCUGGGUGCUUUCAUAGUUCCUGUGAUGUGACAGGCUGUGCAGAAGACCCACAGUAAAUUUGUCCCUAGAGUUCACCUAAAAUAUCACUAUAUUCAACAUAACACAAUUUGAAUUAAACAAUUAGAGGAAUGCAGUUGAACAUCCAGAAGAUUAAACCGUAAGGAAGGUACACUUAUUUGAAAGGGAGAGGUACUAAUAAAUGAUUAGGAUUUGACUAGAGAAAUAGGUGGGUCUAUAGUGCCGGGAGAGGAUCAAGAGUUUGUUCUAGAAAGGUAAACAGAAUAUGAAAAUCCCUGGGCACGGAGCACCUCAUGACAAUAUCCAGCUGGGAUGAUGAGGG